rnacentral:rRNA from 1 species
UACGAGAGCCUCGAGCGUUAUCCGGAAUUAUUGGGCGUAAAGGGUGCGUAGGUUGUUCUGUUAGUCUUUUGUCAAAUCCCCAAGCUCAACUUGGGAUAUGCGAAGGAAACGGCAGGACUUGAAAGUGCGAGAGGUAUACGGAACUCAUGGUGUAGGGGUGAAAUCCGUUGAUAUCAUGGGGAACACCAAAAGCGAAGGCAGUAUACUGGCGCAUAUUUGACACUGAAGCACGAAAGCGUGGGUAGCGAAUGGG